GGGCCGUUAGCUCAUCUGGUAGAGCGGUGGACUUUUAAUCCAUUGGGCGGAGUUCGAGUCUCCGACGGCCCA
rnacentral:tRNA from 1 species